rnacentral:rRNA from 1 species
UACGUAGGCAGCAAGCGUUAAUCGGAAUUACUGGGCGUAAAGCGUGCGCAGGCGGCUUUGCAAGACAGAUGUGAAAUCCCCGGGCUUAACCUGGGAACUGCAUUUGUGACUGCAUGGCUGGAGUGCGGCAGAGGGGGAUGGAAUUCCGCGUGUAGCAGUGAAAUGCGUAGAUAUCAGGAGGAAUACCGAUGGCGAAGGCAGGUCUCUGGGCUGACACUGACGCUCAUGCACGAAAGCGUGGGGAGCAAACAGG